rnacentral:ncRNA from 1 species
ACAAAAGCAUUGAUAAGGACAAGAUGCGCGCGCCUCUUUCUUUCAGAGAGUGAAGGAAUUGCUGGAACCUUCGCAGAUAAGCACAUGCAUUACCGCCUUUGAGCUAUUACGGGGAAACUCAAGUAUCCGUAAUCGGGAAGACCGUUAUCGUAUUUUGGAGCGUCAGCUGUAUGCUGAUGGAAUUAGGGUGGAACCACGACCGCAAUCGUCCCUUUA